rnacentral:misc_RNA from 1 species
GUUGGUUCUAGCCAUCAACUAACAAACAUCCAUGACAACUUCAGCCCAUAAUGUACAGUAGCAACAAUGCCUCAGAACACUAAGAGGAAGCAAACAUUCAAUCAACAAGAAUGAUGUGAGAAUGGGAACUCAAAAGAGAGCCGCUACAUCCAAGAAAAAACACCGAAUGCAAGAUUUACAGGUGGUCAUUGAGGAGACUGCUCUUCCUGCUUGGUUUCUAGGUGGGUUUGAGCAGGCACUGGUGGUGGAUCAGAUGUGGCAAGCACAUUAGGCCUUGAUAGAGGUGGGCUUAUCGUUCCAUCAAUGCAAGAAGAGCAUUUUGUCUCUGCCCAACUCUCUAUAUCAUGCUGACCAUAACCCAAGAUUCUCCUUCCUGAGCAAAGCCUUCCAAUCAUAACAGCGAGUACUGCUAAAAUCAUGAUCACUACAAGUACUGCUAUAACUGGGCCAACUGAGCUGUGGGUUGAGUGAGUGUGGAAAGGUUCCUGUGCUAUAGUCACUGCCGGUGGUUGCUGGCCUAGCGGCAUUGACAUUUUAGCCUUGGACGGUAGAGCGCUUCUGAUGAAGGUGAAGAACUAGCUUACGAGUAAGUUGUGCCGGUUUUUGCAAGAUUCAUCUUGAAAAUGUGAAGGGAAAUGGAGGAAAAUAGAGUAGAACUGAAAAGGAUGAGUUUUGGAUGUGUUUCUUUAAAGCAACUUGAAAAGUAACAAAAGCCAAGUCAUUCUGAGUUUUGCAGUAAAAACCCCACUCUGCCAGCAAAUGAAUGGGAGAAACUAGUACAUUUGCCUUAAAAAGAUUGGAGA